UGUCAAGUUCGUCUGCUUUUAUACAACUGCGUCACUAGUUUGGAGAAAAUGAAAUGAUUUAAAUAUCUUUAUUAAUAAUAUACUUUAAAAUAUAAGUUUUUCCUAUUAGAUUUUAUACGUCAAGUAUUCUAAUUUAAUAUCUGGUCGAAUAUAAAUUUAAAUGUAUAAGGAAAUGUAGAUGAAAAUAUAUACGAGAUACAUUAUGAAUGAAUUAUUCAAGCCGGAUGAAAAUGAAUUAUUCAUUAUCCAAGAUGGAGUAUUUCCAACUGGUAUGCUAUUGAGGAGAAUAAUGUUUUUGUUACCUAUUUUAAUCGUCUUUUUGAAAGAAGAUGCUGUUCUUAUUCUGCAUGAAUAAGGUUUUUUACUUUUUUCAAAAAAGUAAUGAAAUGAAGUCAUUUUAAGAGUGCCAGAAGCCAAAUUGGACUUGCAUUAUAGCAAUACAUAGAUGUGUUUUAGUGUGCAGACGAAUAUACUGUAUGAAGCAUAGAUCAAAGUAUGAUGUAAUAACUAAAAUAUCAUUUGUGAGAUUGAAUGAAAUGAAACUAGAUGAAGAAGAAAAGGACAGGAAGAACUAAGGAAAGAAUCCUUAAAAUGGGCGUGAAAUAUCUUGAAAUGAUCGGAAUAGAAGAUAAUUUUUAUUUAUAAAUUAUAAAAAAACAAGAAUUAACACAAGUCCUAACAAUCCUACUAUCAUCAUCCAGAGCAUCGAAUAGAAUGCAUCCAUUUAUCUCGAUCUUAGAAAGGGAAAAAAGAGCAAUCUUUAAAAUACAGUUAUCUAAGGUUAUUAAUAACUUCUAACAAAAAAGCAAUCAUCCAUCAGCUUUCCUAUAUAAUAAGGUAAUGAUAUUACACCCUGAGAUAUCAACCUCAGUAGUCUGCGAGCUAGAUAGGAGCUGUUCCUCCCAAUAACAGACACAAGAGGCCUAGUCUAUCAUUACCUGAUUGUUU